AAAAAAGCAAGUUUUUUUUGCCUAUGUAAUGUGCCAUACAUGUGUCUGCCACCUGUUGGAUGGUUAGAGGAUGCUGGAUUGAUGGUGAAUUAGCAGCAGGUGUAGUCGUGAGAGG